CAGCCGCCGCGGGAAUACGUAGGUCCCGAGCGUUGUCCGGAUUUAUUGGGCGUAAAGGGAGCGCAGGCGGUUUAGUAAGUCUGAAGUUAAAGGCAUUGGCUCAACCAAUGUAUGCUUUGGAAACUGUUAGACUUGAGUGCAGAAGGGGAGAGUGGAAUUCCAUGUGUAGCGGUGAAAUGCGUAUAUAUAUGGAGGAACACCGAUGGCGAAAGCGGCUCUCUGGUCUGUCACUGACGCUGAGGCUCGAAAGCGUGGGUAGCGAACAGGAUUAGAUACCCCGGUAGUCCCUGUCUCUUAUACC
rnacentral:rRNA from 1 species